rnacentral:lncRNA from 1 species
UGACGCCCUUGCACCUUCCCAGCUCCCACAGGCCUGGGCUCAGGGCGCUGCACUGCCCAACAGCACCUCAGGAAUGCACAGGGCCACCUGGGGCUGGCAAGAGAGGCUGGACCCCAUCAGGUCCUGGGAGCCCUAGGAUGGCCUGUGACUGUGCGUAUCACAGAUGAAGGGACAAAGCCAGAGAGGCUAAGUAACUCCCUCAAGGGCACACAGCAGAGUCUUGAUUUGUAGCCCAGACUGGACUGGAAUUUGCAACCUUCCUGACUCAGCCUCCUGAGUGCUGGGAUUACAGACCCCGAGCCAGGCUCUGGGCUACAGCUGGAGCAAGGACGAGACUUUGGCUUCAAGAAAUCCCUGGAACAAUAACUUGCAGCUGAGCAGCACAAUUGUUUAUGGUUUGUGGUCUGUGAGGCCCUUUUCCAUAUCCUGUCCCGUGAUCCUGGUGUCGGACGUGGCCGAGACGAGACACUCAGAAACAGACUCUGAGGACAUCCAGGAGGAUGAAGACCCCUGGGUGAGGCCCAUGGGCAUCAGUAUCUGGACUCCUUCCCAGUGCUCCUUCCCAAGGGCCACACUACCCAGCAUGCACUGGGUGCUGACCUCAGAACACCACAUGGGGCUCCUUCUUCUGUCUGGCUCAGAGUUUGGGAGGUCCUGCUGUGGCCCCAGUGCCACUGGGAUGUCCUCCUUGUCACUGUCACUUGGGGCCCUGGGAGCUGGAGGUGCCUGAACUGUGUCCACUGCCUCCACCACAGGGCCGAUAAAAGAGUGACCACAAUCCUUUUUGGGCCACUUUCUUGGUCAAAAAAGGAAUGUGGUCUUGGGUGAAAGGGGACGAUAUGGAGAGAACACCACUGAGGGACUUGGUCACUGUGGGGGAGGGGGGAGUCCCACCAUCAGGUGCCUGGGUCUGUGAGGCUCCCUCUCCAGCCAUGCUUUGCUCUGGUGCAGCCUCCUCCUGAUUCAGAGGCCCUGGCUUAGCAUAGCCGCACCCACCACCUGCUCCUGAGGCUGCAGCUGGUACUUGUUUUGCAUAUGGGGAGUCUCACUUGGUUUCAAGGGCGGCAGACCUGGAUGAUGGGUUUAUUUGGAUUGCAAUCCCAGGCAGCUUAGGUAAAGGAGUGAGCUGGGGACACAGGGAAGGGAAGCACGUGCCAUCCAGCAAAUUCCUGCUGCUGGCAACUGGAGUUUGGCCUUGCUGGGGAGUCCUAAAAGCCAGUGGAGAGCAGCGGGUCUCAGUUGUCUACCCACAGGCAAGGGAGGAGGGCACUGAAGGACCGACUCCCAUCAGAUAGCUCAGUCCUGGCAGCAGUGUCUACCCAGGAAAUGUCCCAGGUGCUGGCAGUAGGAAGCCCAACUGGGUCUCAUCAUUAGCAUCCUAAAGGGUUGCACUGUUAAACACUUGAAAAC